GACAGAGGGUGCAAACGUUGCUCGGAAUUACUGGGCGUAAAGGGCGUGUAGGCGGGCAGGUAAGUCGGGCGUGAAAUCCCUGGGCUCAACCCAGGAACUGCACUCGAAACUACUUGCCUUGAGUGCCGGAGAGGAAAGCGGAAUCCUGGUGUAGAGGUGAAAUCGUAGAUAUCAGGGAGGAACACCAGUGGCGAAGGCGGCUUUCUGG
rnacentral:rRNA from 1 species